CUUCAUUUCAUCCCAAAUCCACCAUAGUUACAGUAGAAACUAGAAACCCACAAGCAGACCAGACCCAUUAGAUUGCUUUACAAUAAUAGCAAGCAUAAGAACGCCUAACUACCCAAUUUCUUGAUAACAAGACUAUCAAUCCAAAAUCAAAAGCCCUAACCACCAAACCCAUAAAGAGUCCUGCCCUGCCUUUUCAGUGCAUACACCACAUCCAUGGCUGUUACAGUCUUGCGGCGGGCGUGUUCCGUGUAGGUCACAGCGUCUCUGAUCACAUUCUCAAGGAAGAUCUUCAGUACUCCACGGGUCUCCUCGUAGAUCAGACCACUGAUUCGUUUCACGCCACCUCUGCGAGCCAAACGGCGAAUUGC
rnacentral:misc_RNA from 1 species